rnacentral:lncRNA from 1 species
UCGCUGCCAUGGUGAGUCGGACUGCUUCUCUUCUCCCAAUUUUAUUUUCCCCAUCUUGCUCUGCUUUACUUCAGUAUAGUUGGGGAUUGCUAGUUACGACUUGCCAGUCCCUGAUAAUGACAGACAAGUUGAAUUAUAGAUGGUUUGGGCGGAGGGGAGCUUCUAGCUGAAGCCUUUUGCUGUGAUUCAACUGAUUUAAGUUAUGGCUUAUCGGAGCAUGUCAUGAGCUCAUGGAAGUGAAAUUUGAUUGUGCAAUCGUUGGCUGCUUGAUUAUGUGAUUGACUGAUUGUAUAAUAACGCUGCUUGUGUUAGUCCCGUGGUUGUUGAUGAUGAUUCAAAGUUCCACUUUUUUCUUAUGGUGCCACUUGCUUAUGUUGUAGGCCUGAUCAGUCACUCCGUCAUAUGGUCAUAUUUAUUUUCGAGACUUCAGAGCAAGUUACAAUAUCAAAUUUCUCUACUAAGUAAUAAUUACCUCCACUCGGUGUAGAGAAAUGCAAUUGCACUCAAGCACUGAAUAUGUUGCAAUGGAUAUGACACCAAAACUUUCUCCCUCUCUUUUAUUUGAGGCACAUUUCAGUAAGUUUUUUUACAUAUUUUCAUUCUCUUAAAAGACCAUUUAGAUAUGUAUGUUCUCUGCUACUACAAACUGAGCAGUAGCUUGACAGCUUUUCGUAGCUCGGUCGAGUAGGCAGCUGCGACAUUGGGGGAGAAGUACAUCGGUGCAGGGCAUGGCAAGGCUGAGUACUUGUUCGAUCUGAGAAGGACAUUAGCAAUCAGAGCAGGCUUUCUCUCCAUUACAGUUGGAGUUCAAGAGCGUAAGGAAGGUAAUCUGGUGAUCAAUCACUGUUACCUGUCACAAAACUCUAGAAAUAUCAUUGAGUACCAUUUACCACUAGCUAUGCUUGCCAUUUAAUAAGAUGUUUAUGUGAGCUUAAUGUCAUAUUAAAUUUUUUUCUACGAAAGCAGAUUACUGUGUGUUCCCUAAAUACAGUAGAAGAGAAAUAAAUCUUAUAAAACUAUGCUGAGACGAGUAGUACUUAUUUAGUCAGGUGACAUGUUAGAUAAAAUUCUACACCUAUUACAUCUUAUCUGACUUCUGUAUUUGUUAAAGAUAGCUGAACUAGAUUGUGUUCCAGGAAUACAAAACCAUGGAUGUUUUCCAUUUAUUAACUUGGCUUUUGGAAUUUUUUGAUGUCCCCUUCUCCUAUUAUUAACAACAUAUACCUACAGGGUUCUCUGUGCUGGUUUGCCAAAUCUAGACACUUCUUUUGUGGUCCAUGCUUCCUCUUUAUACUAUGCUUGCCUACAUGCGUAAUAUAACUCCUUUAUUCUCUUGAUGUGAUUUUCCUUUACAAGGAAGAAUACACACCAUGGGGACAAAAUAAGUAAAUUAGUAGCAUAUGGCAACUUUAUAAAUACUUCCAUGUUUCUGAUACAUCAUGAGGUCAUGUACCGAUAGAUUGCAAAAAUAAAAAGAAAAAUAUAUUAGCUAAAUCCAAAGAAUUUCCAUUCCAACAUGUCAAUUGUUUCUAACUUUAAUUAUUGGCAUGGUCCAUCUAUAGUGUCCUUUAAUUAUUAUUUAUUAGACCACAUUCAAUAUUGUUUUUUGGAUGCCUGCAACUUCCAAGUAAUUAUAUCAGCAUAUAUAUCUGUGUGUGUGUGUAGUGUACAUAUGAUUUGUAUUAUUGGCGUGGUCCAUCUGAUUUGUAUUUGUAGUCUACAAACAAGGCAUCCUAAUUAUUUGUUUGAACAUGCUACAGUCUUGUUUUCUCUGCCGUGUCUUCUCCUUUUCUUAAUAAUGUCACUGCCUUUGAUUUAUUUGCUCAGAUGUGCUAUUUUCUUAAUAACUUCCAUUAUUUCCUGCCCCAUAUAUACUGGUAUGUCCUUUAAAUAGUAGGCAGCAACAUGUGUGAUGGCUAUAACAUAACUCAAUGUUAGUUGGCUUAUAAUCUCUUAUCCCUUGAAAGACUUAGAAAAUGGCAUAUCAUGGGACAACAUAAGAGACCAUAUAGUAGAGGAAUAGAUUCAAGCAUGACAGGUCUUGGCCUCUCAACCUUUUCUGUUAUAUGUCAUGUUUCUAUUAAUUAGUUUGCUCGACAUGAUUCUGCCAAUGGACACUUUCAUUUUCUCUAACAGGCAGGAAUAAAAAUAUUUUUAAUGUGCAUAAAAAAUCAUAGCAGAGAUGUAAGUUGUGAUCCUAAAUUUUAACUUGAUGGUGCUGAAAUUACUUAAUUCUGGGUAGUGCAUGUCGAUAUGGCACUUGUGAAAAUUGAAGAUUUGGUACGGAGUCGCAAAAACUGCAAUACUCUUGGUAAUGCAGAUUUUUUUUGCAUGGUAACCUUUGUAAGUGACUAAUAUCCUGGCUAAAUCACUUCUUGCAUCAUGUCAAUGCAUUGUGUGUUAACAGUUCAUUUUGUUUUUCUUUGUAGAUUCAAAAGAUAAAUGGAUGAUUAUAUGGGUGUGUGUGGCAAGUGUACUACAAUGAUGACGAUGUUCCUGUUCAUGAUGAUGAAGACGGAUGCUUUUUAGUUUUAGUUCAAUUGUAGGGAUGAUGUUCCUGUGAACGAUGUUCCUCGAUUAUGUUUUAGUUAAGUUGUAGGGAUGUUGAUGGAUGUGCUCAAUUUAAGUUUCACUGUCAAGUAACAUUUAGAUUACACAUCCCAUUUAGAUUUGGAUGAUUUUCCUUGUGUAAUAUCCACCAUUGUAAUCCAACAGUUUUAUCUAAUAUAUGAUUUCUUCCUUUCAUG